UCCUCGGUAGCUCAGUUGGUAGAGCAAACGACUGUUAAUCGUUGGGUCGCAGGUUCGAGUCCUGCCCGAGGAGCCA
rnacentral:tRNA from 1 species